rnacentral:lncRNA from 1 species
AUAUGCAAUUACACACACACACAUGAUGAUUUGUGAAAAUCAUGUUAUAAAACUUAAAUAAUUUGUAAGAUUUGUAAAUAAUUCAUUUUAAUGGAAAAUAAAGUUUUAAAAAAACAUGAGAGCCUUUGAAUGAGACUAACCUAAUCCCUUACGUAUAGUUUAAUCAGAAAAAGUUUCAAAAUCCUUACUGGCUCGAGUCUAUACUCUCCUAUAAAUCUU